ACCUGGCUAGCUCAGUCGGUAGAGCAUGAGACUUAUAAUCUCAGGGUUGUGAGUUCUGAGCCCCACGUUAGGUG